CCUCCAUUGUUCCAGCAAUGGUGCAGCAGCCCUGGGAGACUCUGUAACUGUGUGUCCACAACUGCAGUCCCUUCCAGUGUGGCCUCCUGAGGAGCUGAUGGACAUAGCCCUCAGAGUGAGGGACUAUAGGUCCUUGGCCUGGUUACAGUCAGCCUCAGACUCCAGGUUGCUGUCUGUGAAAUGGGAUACAACCACCUCUCCUGUGGGGAUUAAAUUCACAUGGCUAGUGCCAAGUACAAGUUAGCUGUGUGAAGGUGGCGCUGGGCAGGCUUCCGAGGCCUCGUGAGGUCUGGCAAAGGAGAUCUUCAGACCUUCACUGGUGUUACUGGAAGAAGCAAGCUGUUUUCUGGUAAAAGGAGAAGAUCAACAAAUGCCAGCAAACUGGGACUCUUUUUGAAAAGAGUAGCUGGGAAAUUACCACUAACUGGGCAACAACUGAUUGAGAGAAUGAUGAGAUGAUCUAACCCCCACCUGCACCCCGUAACCCUACACACACAAAUACACAAUUCUCUCCUUA